GACAACGCUGGCGGCGUGCCUAACACAUGCAAGUCGAGCGAGGAGAGUUCCUUCGGGAACGAACCUAGCGGCGACGGGUGAGUAACACGUGGGCAACCUGCCUUGUAGAGGGAAUAGCCUUCCGAAAGGAAGAUUAAUACCGCAUAACAUUACAGUUUCGCAUGAAACAGUAAUUAAAGGAGUAAUCCGCUACAAGAUGGGCCCGCGGCGCAUUAGCUAGUUGGUGAGGUAACGGCUCACCAAGGCGACGAUGCGUAGCCGACCUGAGAGGGUGAUCGGCCACAUUGGGACUGAGACACGGCCCAGACUCCUACGGGAGGCAGCAGUGGGGAAUAUUGCAUAAUGGGGGAAACCCUGAUGCAGCAACGCCGCGUGAGUGAUGAAGGUUUUCGGAUCGUAAAGCUCUGUCUUCGGGGACGAUAAUGACGGUACCCGAGGAGGAAGCCACGGCUAACUACGUG
rnacentral:rRNA from 1 species